CCCUUAGAUGUUCUGGGCUGCACGCGCGCUACACUGAUGCGCUCAACAAGUUUAUGACCUUGCCCGGAAGGGUUGGGUAAUCUUCUUAGCACGCAUCGUGAUGGGGAUAGAUUAUUGCAAUUAUUAAUCUUCAACGAGGAAUUCCUAGUAAGCGCGAGUCAUCAGCUCGUGCUGAUUACGUCCCUGCCCUUUGUACACACCGCCCGUCGCUCCUACCGAUUGAGUGUGUUGGUGAGGAGUUUGGAUUGGCCUCGGAAGGUGGUUCGCCACCGUCCGUAGCUGAGAAGUUCUCCAAACCGCCCCACUUAGAGGAAGGAGAAGUCGUAACA
rnacentral:rRNA from 1 species